UUUUUGAGCGGGGGACAACAUUUGGAAACGAAUGCUAAUACCGCAUAACAACUUUAAACACAAGUUUUAAGUUUGAAAGAUGCAAUUGCAUCACUCAAAGAUGAUCCCGCGUUGUAUUAGCUAGUUGGUGAGGUAAAGGCUCACCAAGGCGAUGAUACAUAGCCGACCUGAGAGGGUGAUUGGCCACAUUGGGACUGAGACACGGCCCAAACUCCUACGGGAGGCAGCAGUAGGGAAUCUUCGGCAAUGGACGAAAGUCUGACCGAGCAACGCCGCGUGAGUGAAGAAGGUUUUCGGAUCGUAAAACUCUGUUGGUAGAGAAGAACGUUGGUGAGAGUGGAAAGCUCAUCAAGUGACGGUAACUACCCAGAAAGGGACGGCUAACUACGUGCCAGCAGCCGCGGUAAUACGUAGGUCCCGAGCGUUGUCCGGAUUUAUUGGGCGUAAAGCGAGCGCAGGUGGUUUAUUAAGUCUGGUGUAAAGGGCAGUGGCUCAACCAUUGUAUGCAUUGGAAACUGGUAGACUUGAGUGCAGGAGAGGAGAGUGGAAUUCCAUGUGUAGCGGUGAAAUGCGUAGAUAUAUGGAGGAACACCGGUGGCGAAAGCGGCUCUCUGGCCUGUAACUGACACUGAGGCUUCGAAAGCGUGGGGAGCAAACAGGAUUAGAUACCCUGGUAGUCCACGCCGUAAACGAUGAGUGCUAGAUGUAGGGAGCUAUAAGUUCUCUGUAUCGCAGCUAACGCAAU
rnacentral:rRNA from 1 species